rnacentral:rRNA from 1 species
GACGAACGCUGGCGGCGUGCCUAAUACAUGCAAGUAGGACGCAGUUGCGAACGGGUGAGUAACGCGUAGGUAACUGCCUAUUAGAGGGGGAUAACUAUUGGAAACGAUAGCUAAUACCGCAUACUAGUAGAUGUACCUGCGUUUUAUUAGCUAGUAGGUAGGGUAAUGACCUACCUAGGCGACGAUAAAUAUCCGACCGUAGAGGGUGAGAGGACACACGGGAACUGAGACACGGCCCAGACUACUACGGGAGGCAGCAGUAGGGACUCUUCGGAAAUGGGGGAAACCCUGACCGAGCAACGCGGCGUGAGUGAAGAAGGUUUUCGGAUCGUAAAGCUCUGUUGUUAAGGAAGCGGUACUUAACCAGAAAGGGACGGCUAACUACGUGCCAGCAGCCGCGGUAAUUG